GCCGAUUCCCUGCCGAAAUCCCCCUUUGGCGGGUUCCCGUUUCGAGGUGGAUGGUUGCGGCUUUGCCGGAGGGGCCGCGUUUGCCCUGAACGGCUCCAAAAGCGGCUGUUUUCACCCCGAAAUCGGGGCCAGUUUUCACCCCCAAAUCGGGGCCGGUUUUCACCCCAAAAACAGGGUUGAUUUUCACCCCGAAAACGGGGUUGAUUUUCGCCCCGCGGCAGCGGCACCUUUGCCCCCCGGCGCCGCUCACCGCUGCCGCCGCCGCUUCGCUCCCGCGCGCCGGCGCCUCCCCGCUCCCUCCCGGUUCUCCCAGUUCUCCCAGUUGCCUUUUCCCCCUUUUUUUUCCCUCCCUCUAUUCCCAGUUCCGCAACUUCAAGAUCAUCUACCGGCGCUACGCCGGCCUUUACUUCUGCAUCUGCGUCGACGUCACCGACAACAACCUGGCCUAUCUCGAGGCCAUCCACAACUUCGUGGAGAUCCCACCAGGGAGCUCCAGUCCCAUCUGGGAGCUCGAAUCCUCUCCAAUCCCACCUGGAAGCCAGGGCCUCACCGGGGAGCUCGGAUCCCGCCGCAUCCCAUUUAGGAGCUCAGAUCCUACGUAGGAGCUGUGAUCCCAUCAGAUCCCAUCAGGGAGCUUGGAGCCUGCCAGGGAGCUCGGAUCCCCCCCAGGAGCUUGGAUCCCCUUGGAUCCCACCUGGGCCCCACCAGGGAGAUCAGAUCGCAUUUAGGAGCUCAGAUCCUGUCAGAUCCCACUGGGGAGCUUGGAUCCGAAGCUCGGGCUCUGCCAAGGAGCUUGGAUCCUGUCUAGGAACUUGGAUCCCAUCAGGUCCCAUCUAGGAGCUCGGAUCCCAUUUAGGAGCCUGGAUCCCAUCAGAUUCCACGCAGGUGCUCAGAUCC
rnacentral:lncRNA from 1 species